GAUGAACGCUGGCGGCGUGCCUAAUACAUGCAAGUCGAGCGAACAGACGAUGAGCUUGCUCCUCUGUCGUUAGCGGCGGACGGGUGAGUAACACGUGGAUAACCUACCUAUCAUACUGGGAUAAUCUCGGGAAACCGGAGCUAAUCCCGGAUAAUAUAUUGAACCGCAUGGUUCAAUAGUGAAAUACGGUUUUGCUGUCACUUAUAGAUGGAUCCGCGCCGUAUUAGCUAGUUGGUAAGGUAACGGCUUACCAAGGCAACGAUGCGUAGCCGACCUGAGAGGGUGAUAGGCCACCUUGGAACUGAGACACGGUCCAGAGUCCUACGGGAGGCAGCAGUAGGGAAUCUUCCGCAAUGGGCGAAAGCCUGACGGAGCAACACCGCGUGAGUGAUGAAGGUCUUCGGAUCGUAAAACUCUGUUAUUAGGGAAGAACAAAUGUGUAAGUAACUAUGCACGUCUUGACGGUACCUAGUCAGAAAGCCACGGCUAACUACGUG
rnacentral:rRNA from 1 species